rfam:Otolemur garnettii contig073852, whole genome shotgun sequence.
AUCGCUUCUCAGUCUUUUGGCUAAGAUCAAGUGUAGAAUCUGUUCUUAUCAGUUUAAUAUCUGAUAGGUCCUGUAUCCGAGGACAAUAUGUUAAAUGGAUUUUUGGAGUAGGGAGUUGGAACAGGAGCUUGAUCUUUCCACUCUGUGCAUCGACCCGGUAUUGCAGAAAGAACAAGAAAUUUUUAGUGAAUAUGAA